rnacentral:rRNA from 1 species
CCUACGGGCGGCUGCAGUGGGGAAUAUUGGACAAUGGGGGGAACCCUGAUCCAGCCAUGCCGCGUGUGUGAAGAAGGCCCUCGGGUUGUAAAGCACUUUCAGUGAGGAAGAACGCCUGGUGGUUAAUACCCAUCAGGAAAGACAUCACUCACAGAAGAAGCACCGGCUAACUCCGUGCCAGCAGCCGCGGUAAUACGGAGGGUGCGAGCGUUAAUCGGAAUUACUGGGCGUAAAGCGCGCGUAGGUGGCUUGAUAAGCCGGUUGUGAAGGCCCCGGGCUCAACCUGGGAACGGCAUCCGGAACUGUCAAGCUAGAGUGCAGGAGAGGAAGGUAGAAUUCCCGGUGUAGCGGUGAAAUGCGUAGAGAUCGGGAGGAAUACCAGUGGCGAAGGCGGCCUUCUGGACUGACACUGACACUGAGGUGCGAAAGCGUGGGUAGCAAACAGGAUUAGAUACCCUUGUAGUC